GAUUGGACAGAGAAGAAGGACGUGGAUUGAUAGCGCGGGAAACAAUAAGAUGCACCAGACAGGCCAGCAUGAGACCUCCCACAAGUGUAAGUUUUACCUUCAGAUGUCCGGAAAGUGAUAGUCGGCAAAGAGGAGCAGGAGGACUGGAGCUCCAGUGUGGACCAGGAGGACCCAGAGCCCCCACACAUUAAAGAGGAAGAGGAGGAACUCUGGAGCAGUCAGGAGGGAG